rnacentral:tRNA from 1 species
UAGCUCAGUGGUAGAGCCCAUGCCUAGCAUGCAUGAGGUUCUGGGUUCAAUCCUCAG